rnacentral:tRNA from 1 species
UGCGGGGUAGAGCAGUCCGGUAGCUCGUCAGGCUCAUAACCUGGAGGUCGUAGGUUCAAAUCCUACCCCCGCGUCCA